rnacentral:rRNA from 1 species
UACGAGGGGGGCAAGCGUUGUUCGGAAUUAUUGGGCGUAAAGGGCGCGUAGGCGGUGCGGUAAGUCUGUUGUGAAAUCUCCGGGCUCAACUCGGAGUCUGCAUCAGAAACUGCCGUGCUCGAGUGUGGGAGAGGUGAGUGGAAUUCCCGGUGUAGCGGUGAAAUGCGUAGAUAUUGGGAGGAACACCAGUGGCGAAGGCGGCUCACUGGACCGGUACUGACGCUGAUGCGCGAAAGCGUGGGGAGCAAACGGG